rnacentral:rRNA from 1 species
UCUGGUUGAUCCUGCCAGUAGUCAUAUGCUUGUCUCAAAGAUUAAGCCAUGCAUGUCUAAGUAUAAAUAGUAUACAGUGAAACUGCGAAUGGCUCAUUAAAACAGUUAUAGUUUAUUUGAUAAUUGACAAUUACAUGGAUAACCGUGGUAAUUCUAGAGCUAAUACAUGCUUAAACGCCCGACUUUAUGGAAGGGUGGUAUUUAUUAGACUGAAGCCAAUAUUCCUUGUGUCUAUUGCGGUGAUUCAUAAUAACUGAUCGAAUCUCUUUUUGAGAUAAAUCAUUCAAGUUUCUGCCCUAUCAGCUUUCGAUGGUAGUGUAUUGGACUACCAUGGCAGUAACGGGUAACGAAGAAUUAGGGUUCGAUUUCGGAGAGGGAGCAUGAGAAACGGCUACCACAUCUAAGGAAGGCAGCAGGCGCGUAAAUUACCCAAUCCUGACUCAGGGAGGUAGUGACAAGAAAUAGCAAACCGGGAACCUCAUGGUUUCACGGUAUUGCAAUGAGAACAAUUUAAAACCCUUAGCGAGAAUCAAGUGGAGGACAAGUCUGGUGCCAGCACCCGCGGUAAUUCCAGCUCCACUAGCGUAUAUUAAAGUUGUUGCAGUUAAAAAGCUCGUAGUUGAACCUCUGUCUGGGGCUAGUUUUGGCUUUGGUCAGGCUAGUUCUAGGCAUCCGCCUACAAGACUUAGAGGGCAUUCAGUUGUUCACUAGGAGGAGUAGGCAUUUUACUUUGAAAAAAUUAGAGUGUUUAAGGCAGGCAAUCGCCCGCAUAUAUUAGCAUGGAAUAAUAGAAUAGGACACUUUUCCAUUUCGUUGGUUAUUGGAAUCGUGUAAUGAUUAAUAGGGACAGUUGUGGGCAUUUGUAUUUAAUUGUCAGAGGUGAAAUUCUUGGAUUUAUUAAAGACAAACUAACGCGAAAGCAUUUGCCAAGGAUGUUUUCAUUAAUCAAGAACGAAAGUUAGGGGAUCAAAGACGAUCAGAUACCGUCCUAGUCUUAACUAUAAACUAUUCCGACUCAAUGUUUGACUGGCUUAUAUAACCAGUUGAGCGUUGUAUGAGUAAUCAAAGUCUUUAGGUUCUGGGGGGAGUAUGGUUGCAAAGCUGAAACUUAAAGGAAUUGACGGAAGACCACAACCAGGAGUGGAUUCUGCGGCUUAAUUUGACUCAACACGGGGAAACUUACCAGGUUAAAACAAUAGU